CCGGGCGACCGGCGCACGGGUGAGUAACGCGUAUGCAACCUGCCCGUUUCAGCGGGAUAACCCGGAGAAAUCCGGCCUAAUACCGCAUGUGGCCGAGGGGAGGCAUCUUCUUUCGGCCAAAGGAGGCGACUCCGGAGACGGAUGGGCAUGCGUGACAUUAGCUAGUUGGCGGGGUAACGGCCCACCAAGGCGACGAUGUCUAGGGGUUCUGAGAGGAAGGUCCCCCACACUGGUACUGAGACACGGACCAGACUCCUACGGAAGGCAGCAG
rnacentral:rRNA from 1 species